AUUGAACGCUGGCGGCAGGCCUAACACAUGCAAGUCGAGCGGAUGAAGGGAGCUUGCUCCUGGAUCCAGCGGCGGACGGGUGAGUAAUGCCUAGGAAUCUGCUUGGCAGUGGGGGAUAACGUCUGGAGACGGGCGCUAAUACCGCAUACGUGCUGCGGGAGCAAGAGGGGGAGCUUCGGACCGUAUGCUAUCAGAGGAGUCUAGGUGGGAUUAGCUAGUUGGUGGGGUAAGGGCCUACCAAGGCGGGGAUCCGUAACUGGUCUGAGAGGCUGAUUAGUCGCACUAGAGCUGGGCCGCGGUCCAGGGUACUACGGGAGGCAGCAGAGGGGAAUGUUGGACAGUGGGCGGAAGCCUGAUCCAACCAUGCCGCGUGUGAGAAGAAAGUCUUCGGAUUGUGAAGCACGUUAAGUUGGGAGAAAGGGCAGUAAGUUAAUACCUUGCUGGUUUGACGGUACCGGCAGAAUAAGCACCGGCUAACUACGUG
rnacentral:rRNA from 1 species